rnacentral:misc_RNA from 1 species
CACGUAGGGAGCAAGCGUUAUCCGGAAUUACUGGGCGUAAAGCGCACGCAGGCGGUCUCGUAAGUUGGAUGUGAAAGCUCUCGGCUUAACCGGGAGAGGCCAUUCAAUACUGUGGGACUUGAGAAUGGUAGAGGAGAGUGGAAUUCCCGGUGUAGUGGUGAAAUGCGUAGAUAUCGGGAGGAACACCAGUGGCGAAAGCGGCUCUCUGGACCAUUUCUGACGCUCAGGUGCGAAAGCUAGGGGAGAGAACGGG